CGGGGAAUAUUGGACAAUGGGCGAAAGCCUGAUCCAGCCAUGCCGCGUGUGUGAAGAAGGUCUUCGGAUUGUAAAGCACUUUAAGUUGGGAGGAAGGGCAGUAAGUUAAUACCUUGCUGUUUUGACGUUACCGACAGAAUAAGCACCGGCUAACUCUGUGCCAGCAGCCGCGGUAAUACAGAGGGUGCAAGCGUUAAUCGGAAUUACUGGGCGUAAAGCGCGCGUAGGUGGUUUGUUAAGUUGGAUGUGAAAUCCCCGGGCUCAACCUGGGAACUGCAUUCAAAACUGACUGACUAGAGUAUGGUAGAGGGUGGUGGAAUUUCCGGUGUAGCGGUGAAAUGCGUAGAUAUCAAGAGGAACACCUGAGGUGAAGACGGUUGCUGGGCUGACACUGACGCUGAGGCGCGAAAGCCAGGGGAGCAAACGGGAUUAGAUACCCCUGUAGUCCCUGAGCGGGCUGGCAAGGCGCAU
rnacentral:rRNA from 1 species